rnacentral:rRNA from 1 species
GCCAGCAGCCGCGGUAAUACGUAGGGUGCGAGCGUUGUCCGGAAUUAUUGGGCGUAAAGGGCUCGUAGGCGGUUUGUCGCGUCGGGAGUGAAAACACCGGGCUUAACUCGGUGCUUGCUUUCGAUACGGGCAGACUAGAGGUAUGCAGGGGAGAACGGAAUUCCUGGUGUAGCGGUGAAAUGCGCAGAUAUCAGGAGGAACACCGGUGGCGAAGGCGGUUCUCUGGGCAUUACCUGACGCUGAGGAGCGAAAGUGUGGGGAGCGAACAGGAUUAGAUACCCUGGUAGUCCACACCGUAAACGUUGGGCGCUAGGUGUGGGAUCCAUUCCACGGGUUCCGUGCCGCAGCUAACGCAUUAAGCGCCCCGCCUGGGGAGUACGGCCGCAAGGCUAAAACUCAAAGGAAUUGACGGGGGCCCGCACAAGCGGCGGAGCAUGCGGAUUAAUUCGAUGCAACGCGAAGAACCUUACCUGGGUUUGACAUAUGCCGGAAAGCGCCAG